rnacentral:rRNA from 1 species
CACGUAGGGCGCAAGCGUUGUCCGGAAUUAUUGGGCGUAAAGAGCUCGUAGGCGGUCUGUUGCGUCCGCUGUGAAAACUCGGGGCUUAACCCCGAGCCUGCAGUGGAUACGGGCAGACUAGAGGUAGGUAGGGGAGAAUGGAAUUCCCGGUGUAGCGGUGAAAUGCGCAGACAUCGGGAGGAACACCGGUGGCGAAGGCGGUUCUCUGGGCCUUACCUGACGCUGAGGAGCGAAAGCGUGGGGAGCGAACAGG